rnacentral:lncRNA from 1 species
GCUGUUGAGCACUCCAGUGGCUCUGUAAAAAGGCCAACUCGCUGGAGGACGGAAGGGUGGCCUGAAGACUGAGGAGGGGCAGGUCAGGUGCCCAGUCCAGAGAGGAGGAGUUGAAGAUGACAAGCCGCACCCCACCUCCCCCCAACUCACUUGGGACUGGAUCCACCCUGAGGAGCCUCGGGUCAACAUCCUGUUUCCGGCAAGCCCUCCUGGAGGCCACACAGAGGGGUGUUUGUUCGUAGUGGGCGACGGGAGAGAUGCUAAUCACGUUGGAUAGCUGGUCCCAGCUGAAGGUCAGGAGGUAGGCCACGAGAGAGCACGGGAACAAAACAGAGACAUCCAGAGAGUCAGAUCUGAGAAACAGCACAGUGCCGUGGAUCCAUCAUUUACCUACCAAGAUAACUACCUUACUUACCAUAAACGUGAACGAUGCAGGCGGCUAGAGGGCUCGCUCGGUAGCUAAAAGUGAUUGCUACACAGGGGCAGCAAUCUGAAUUCAGUCCCCAGGAGCCAUGGAAAGCAGGAAGGAGAUGACCAGCUGCGUGGUUAGCUUCUGACUUCCCCACACGUGCUGUGACCCACACCCACACCAAUAAAUAUAUUUCUACUUUAUGCGUA